CAGUAGCCGCGGGAAAACGUAGGUGGCAAGCGUUGUCCGGAAUUAUUGGGCGUAAAGGGCUCGCAGGCGGUUUCUUAAGUCUGAUGUGAAAGCCCCCGGCUCAACCGGGGAGGGUCAUUGGAAACUGGAAAACUUGAGUGCAGAAGAGGAAAGUGGAAUUCCAUGUGUAGCGGUGAAAUGCGCAGAGAUAUGGAGGAACGCCAGUGGCGAAGGCGACUUUCUGGUCUGUAACUGACGCUGAUGUGCGAAAGCGUGGGGAUCAAACAGGAUUAGAUACCCCAGUAGUCCCUGUCUCUUAUAA
rnacentral:rRNA from 1 species